rfam:Myotis lucifugus cont2.15189, whole genome shotgun sequence.
ACCUGGACUAUUCCAGGAAUAUGGUGCCUCAAAGCUGGACAGGCCCUGUGUUUAAUCAAGAUAAGAUCUUCUCCAACACUGUGCCAACUCAUGAUUCUCACAACUGGUGCUUGGAGAGAUCUGGACUAGAAAUCAGAGGACCUGUAACUUUGCCAGUCACUGCUAA